rnacentral:sRNA from 1 species
GCUGGGUGUGGUGGCACAUGCCUGUAAUCCCAGAGGCUCAGGAAGCUGAGACAGGAGGAUCACAAGUUCAAAGCCAGUUUCAGCAAAGGUGGGGCCCUAAGCAACUCAGUGAGACCCUGUCUCUA